UUCUAUGACAUGCCAUCCAGAACACACCAGAUCUUGUCUGAUGUCAGAAGCUAAGCAGGGUAGGGCCUGGUUAGUAACUUCAUAGGAGGAAUUCUAGAUAACCCUUGCAUCAAUAAAGA
rnacentral:rRNA from 1 species